AGUAACGCGUACGAAACCUACCUUUAAGAGAGGAAUAGCCCUGGGAAACUGGGAGUAAUACCUCAUAGUAUUCAUUUACCGCAUGGUUUAUGGAUUAAAGCUUAGGCGCUUAAAGAUGGUCGUGCGUCUGAUUAGCUAGUUGGUAGGGUAACGGCCUACCAAGGCUACGAUCAGUAGGGGGCGUGAGAGCGUGGCCCCCCACACGGGUACUGAGACACGGACCCGACUCC
rnacentral:rRNA from 1 species